UGGUCUGGCUUUUUGUUUCCUGUAUGCCCCACCCUCUUCAUUAUUUCAUCAUCCUUACUUCUCUACCACUUCUUCCUUUUCUAUUUACUAGACACUUCCUUGAUCUAAUACCAAAUUUAGCCCAUCUACCUAUAACUCAGGUGACAAUAUGACCACCUCCUGUAUAAGCUUCAAGGGAAAUGAUCACAUGUAAAAACAUAUCAAGUGAGUUGGGGUUCCUGACUGCAACAUCUUAAUCAAAUGGAAAAAGGAAUUUUAAAUUCUCCCACCUGAGACCCAUCUGACCUCUUCAGACAUGACCAUUAAUUCCUAUGCUAGACAAGAAGGGGCAAAAGACCACAAAGAAAUGUAAUGUGAAAAAAAUAUUUCAGAUGAACAGCAAUAAAACCAACAGAGGAAGAGAAGACUGACAGACCAGAAGAAAAAGGAAGAAUGAAGAGGUUGGAGGUCUCUGUGAGCUCAAAGAGCAUGUGUAAUAAAAGAGUAAUUAUGAGAAUAUAAGAGGACUCAGAGCACAAGGUCAAAGAGUAUGAUAUUGAAGUUUUAACUUGUUGAUUUGGAGCAAUGACAAAACUCAUAGUGUGAUGCAGAGGUGAUGGCUGAAAGAG